UGCAAGUCGAGCGCGCCCUUCGGGGUGAGCGGCGGACGGGUUAGUAACGCGUGGGAAUAUGCCCAAAGGUACGGAAUAGCCUCUGGAAACGGAGAGUAAUACCGUAUGUGCCCUUCGGGGGAAAGAUUUAUCGCCUUUGGAUUAGCCCGCGUUAGAUUAGGUAGUUGGUGGGGUAAUGGCCUACCAAGCCUACGAUCUAUAGCUGGUUUUAGAGGAUGAUCAGCAACACUGGGACUGAGACACGGCCCAGACUCCUACGGGAGGCAGCAGUGGGGAAUCUUGGACAAUGGGCGCAAGCCUGAUCCAGCCAUGCCGCGUGAGUGAUGAAGGCCUUAGGGUCGUAAAGCUCUUUCGCCAGGGAUGAUAAUGACAGUACCUGGUAAAGAAACCCCGGCUAACUCCGUGCCAGCAGCCGCGGUAAUACGGAGGGGGUUAGCGUUGUUCGGAAUUACUGGGCGUAAAGCGCGCGUAGGCGGAUCGGAAAGUUGGGGGUGAAAUCCCGGGGCUCAACCCCGGAACUGCCUCCAAAACUAUCGGUCUA
rnacentral:rRNA from 1 species